rnacentral:misc_RNA from 1 species
GAAGAACCAUGCUAGAGGAUCAUGUAAUGAAAUGCAUACGUAUGCAAAAAUAUAUAUAUAACACGUUAGAAAGGAAAUAAGUUAAAUAAGCCAAUAAUCUAAGGUAUCAUCUAGAGAGAGAUAUUUUCUCUCUAACUUGUAGAGAGAGAUAUUUUCUCUCAUCCCUUUCUUUGGUUCUAGAGUUUCCUACCCUCUCAUCUCCCGGCAAUGCGGUUUCCUCUUCCCUUCACGGGCAGGGGGGACUUCCUUUCCUGCUUGAAAGUGGGUUCUCCCUCCUCAAUUUCGGGAUGGGAUAUAAAUACUUGUUUUUGGUUCCUUUUAUGGCAGACUUGGGUGUUAUUAGAGAGGCUUCUGCAAAUCUGCUCUUUAUUUUUUAUGGGAGCGAAUUUUUCAUGGCCAUGAGGGAUGUGGCCGUCAGUUUAUUAAAUGGGAGGAGGAAGCCUUGAGGAUGUGAAGAGUCUACUAAUCUCUGAGGUUACCUUUAAGGAUAUCGAGCAUGCCUCCUCUUUACGAUCUCCUUACCUUCAAGUCUUUGGAGCAACACAACUUUUUCCUUUGAUGGAUGGUCUAAUUUAGUGGUAUAUGGUAUAUCUAGGGCCACAAUGCCGAACAUUUUGCGGUGGCCGGCUCUUAAGGCGAGAAAUGUUGUGAGCUCUGCAUGCACGCCUCCUUUCAGGUGUUGAUGAUCAAUUUUAUGGUUCAUCUAGAGUUCGGGCUUUCUAAGGAAGCUAGGUUUAUUUUUGGCCUUCCUAUUGCUUUUUGGUCCUUUGUUUUGUGAUUUCUUGUGUAGUUUUCAAUGGUGUUGUACAUUGGAAUGGUGCCUUAUAAUAGAGAUGCAGAGGACGACGGCAAAGGAUGGUUGCUUUCUUUUUCCUUAGCUAGGGUUUUUAUGUUUUGGGCCUGUGCCUUUUUUUUAUUUUUUUUUGAGCU